AACCUUGGAGCCUCGUGUUAAUUAUGU
rnacentral:sRNA from 1 species